rnacentral:rRNA from 1 species
UGGGGAAUUUUGGACAAUGGGCGAAAGCCUGAUCCGGCAAUGCCGCGUGUGUGAAGAAGGCCUUCGGGUUGUAAAGCACUUUUGUCCGGAAAGAAAUCCUUGGCUCUAAUACAGUCGGGGGAUGACGGUACCGGAAGAAUAAGCACCGGCUAACUACGUGCCAGCAGCCGCGGUAAUACGUAGGGUGCAAGCGUUAAUCGGAAUUACUGGGCGUAAAGCGUGCGCAGGCGGUUUGCUAAGACCGAUGUGAAAUCCCCGGGCUCAACCUGGGAACUGCAUUGGUGACUGGCAGGCUAGAGUAUGGCAGAGGGGGGUAGAGUUCCACGUGUAGCAGUGAAAUGCGUAGAGAUGUGGAGGAAUACCGAUGGCGAAGGCAGCCCCCUGGGCCAAUACUGACGCUCAUGCACGAAAGCGUGGGGAGCAAACAGGAUUNGAUACCCUGGUAGUCCACGCCCUAAAACGAUGUCAACUAGUUGUUGGGGAUUCAUUUCCUUAGUAACGUAGCUAACGCGUGAAGUUGACCGCCUGGGGAGUACGGUCGCAAGAUUAAAACUUAAAUGAAUUGACGGGGUCAUAGCUG